CAGUGACCCAGAGUCUCUACCCCCGCUUUGCCCCAACACGCAGCACCGUGACAGCAGACCCAGCCCCACCCAACUCGGCUCCCAUUGGUGCCUCAGGAUCCUGGUCCCCGCCCACCUCUUCUUCUAUUGCAGCACUGGACUAAGGGCCACGCCCACCUCUUUUGCCAUUGGGCAACGGGUCUCCCUGCCUCGCCCGCCUCUUCUUCUAUUGGGCGAUCGAAACCCUCAGCCCCGCCUUACUCUUUUCCUAUUGGGGGCAGGGUAUUCGGAAUCCCGCCUCCUCUUGUUCCCAUGGGGGCACAGCGCCUCAGUUGCUAGGCUAGUUCUCCCGCGCUAUUGAUGCUGUCGCCCGUCGAUCACGGAUUUCCACGCCCCCUGCAGGAGCGGGGCGGCCUCUUUCAUUGCGAGUAGAGUUUUGGGAGUAUUUAAACUGGAGCAAAGGCCUUGAGUUCGAACCCAGUCCCCCCACACCUAGGAUCCCAGCCUAUUCCCACGCCAGCGAUUUGAGGCUGCAGGAGGCUGAGCCCAUUCACAGCGAAGUUGGGCCCCAUGUAGCUGAGGGGUUUGUCCCUGCAGCCAUUGGCUUCAAUAGAGCCCUACUCUGAGUGCUGGGCAGUGCAGUGGGUCAUUUCAAUGAACAAGCCCUAAGAACAACAUAACAAGGAGACCACUGGUUUUGGGAGGCAGGAGACCCAGGCCUUCAUCUUGGCUCUGUAACCCAGGCUGCUGGCCUGCUCACAUCAGGACUGGAUGAGACCCAAUGGCUCUCCUGGCUCACACCUCAGAAAGCGCAUAUAUAAGUAACAGCAGAGCUCUGUAAGGUCUUGAAGACAAGGAUGAGAAGUUUAAACUUGAUGUGGCGAAAAAGAUGGAGCCAAUGGAAGGAUUCAAAGGAGUGACAUAGACCAACAGGUUUCAUUAUGGCAGACAGCUAAAGGAAGGACAGGAGCUAAAUUCCUGAAGUGGUAGAACUGAUGGUUAAAUUGUACUUCACUGGAUUUUUACUCUUAGUUUAUGUUUUUCCUUUUGUUAUGAAAAACUCAAACAACUGUCCUGUUAAUUACCAUGUGAAGUUUCAGAACAGCAGU